rnacentral:rRNA from 1 species
AAAACUUUCAACAACGGAUCUCUUGGCUCUGGCAUCGAUGAAGAACGCAGCGAAAUGCGAUAAGUAAUGUGAAUUGCAGAAUUCAGUGAAUCAUCGAAUCUUUGAACGCACAUUGCGCCCGCCAGUAUUCUGGCGGGCAUGCCUGUUCGAGCGUCAUUACAACCCUCAGGCCCCCGGGCCUGGCGUUGGGGAUCGGCGGAAGCCCCCUGCGGGCACAACGCCGUCCCCCAAAUACAGUGGCGGUCCCGCCGCAGCUUCCAUUGCGUAGUAGCUAACACCUCGCAGCUGGAGAGCGGCGCGGCCACGCCGUAAAACACCCAACUUCUGAAUGUUGACCUCGAAUCAGGUAGGAAUACCCGCUGAACUUAAGCAUAUCAAUAAGCGGAGGAAAAGAAACCAACAGGGAUUGCCCCAGUAACGGCGAGUGAAGCGGCAACAGCUCAAUUUGAAAUCUGGCUCUCGGGCCCGAGUUGUAAUUUGUAGAGGAUGCUUUUGGUGAGGUGCCUUCCGAGUUCCCUGGAACGGGACGCCAUAGAGGGUGAGAGCCCCGUCUGGUUGGACACCGAUCCUCUGUAAAGCUCCUUCGACGAGUCGAGUAGUUUGGGAAUGCUGCUCUAAAUGGGAGGUAUAUGUCUUCUAAAGCUAAAUACCGGCCAGAGACCGAUAGCGCACAAGUAGAGUGAUCGAAAGAUGAAAAGAACUUUGAAAAGAGAGUUAAAAAGUACGUGAAAUUGUUGAAAGGGAAGCGCUUGUGACCAGACUUGGGCUUGGUUGAUCAUCCGGGGUUCUCCCCGGUGCACUCUUCCGGCUCAGGCCAGCAUCAGUUCGCCCUGGGGGAUAAAGGCUUCGGGAAUGUGGCUCUCUCCGGGGAGUGUUAUAGCCCGCUGCGUAAUACCCUGUGGCGGACUGAGGUUCGCGCAUUCGCAAGGAUGCUGGCGUAAUGGUCAUCAGUGACCCGUCUUGAAACACGGACC